UGAAGAUGGUGUGGCGGUAGUUUGGUGAUGGUUUUCAAAGUAAUGUUUUGCUAAUUUGAUGGUGUUUUUGAAGAUGGUGUGGUGUCCUUUUGAAAUGUGGUGUGGUAGUAGUUUAAUGGUGAUUUUGAAGGUGGAGUGGUAGUAGUUUAAUGGUGAUUUUAAAGGUGGUGUGGUAGUAGUUUAAUGGUGAUUUUGAAGGUGGAGUGGUAGUAGUUUAAUGGUGAUUUUAAAGGUGGUGUGGUAGUAGUUUAAUGGUGAUUUUAAAGGUGGUGUGGUAGUAGUUUAAUGGUGAUUUUGAAGGUGGAGUGGUAGUAGUUUAAUGGUGAUUUUAAAGGUGGUGUGGUAGUAGUUUAAUGGUGAUUUUAAAGGUGGUGUGGUAGUAGUUUAAUGGUGAUUUUAAAGGUGGUGUGGUAGUAGUUUAAUGGUGUUUUUGAAGGUGGCAUGGUGGUAGGUUGAUGGUGUUUUUAAAUGUGGUGUCAUGGUAAUUUGGUGGUGUUUUUAAAGGUGUUUUUUUAAAGGUUUGGUGAUGUUUUUAAAAGUGGUUUGGUAGUAGUUUGGUGGUGUUUGUGACGUUUGUUUGGUUAUAGUGUCGUGAUGUUUUUGAAAGUGGUUUCCUUGACUUUAUGAAGGUGGUUUGUUGGCGUUUAUGAAAGUGUUUUGGUCGUGUUUUGAAAAAAGUUUUCUAGUGGACUUUUGAAGGUGAUAGUUUGAUAUGUUCUUGAUGAAACUUUGUCGAUGUUUUUAAAGGUGGUUGAUGGUAGUGUGAAUGUGAUUUGAUUGUGGUGGUUUAAAAUGGAUGGUGGUGCUUUGAAUUGUUCAAACGGUUUGGUUUGAUCUUGUGGUCUACUCUAAGUUUUGUCCUUUGGUUUAAUGGUUUGUACCGGAGCUGUGAAACAGUGUGAGGCUAUAAAGACUGGUCCUGAUCCCGUGCUUGUAGUCUUCAGAGCUGUCAGUGAGAUUUGUUGUUCUUUGAGCUUUUAAAUUGCACUGAUUGUCUCUUUAAGUGAGAUUUAUGGCCUGGGCUGUGUACGCGUGGAUUCUUUUAUGUUGGUGGAAUGCAGGCCUUCCCCUUGUAGUAAGAUGAUCUGACAACAUUGGUUUGCGAGGUCUUUGUUUAGCUGCCACUUAUCAGUCAUCAUACUUGUGUCUGUGUGUGUCUGGUUUGUUUUUGUAUAUUUUCCCAAGGCAGAAAUGUCCUGACUAUGCAGGAAAACCAGAACAACUCCACAAAACAGGGACUGCCCAACAAGAGCAACGAAAAUAGCCUAGAACUUUCAAAAAUAAAAGGGAAAACAUUUAUUUUGGUAAUUGAGGUUACAAAUAAGAUUAUGUUUAUAAAAAUGACACAAUGGGGCAGUUUCCCAGACAGGGAUUAAGCCUAAUCUUAUACUACAUAGCGUUUUGGACAGAGACACAAAAGUAAGUGAAAAAGAAACAAGACAAUAAAUAAACAUGUUUAUACUUGUAUGCAGUAUAUUCUUGAUUUGGAUUCAUAAAUAAUUUCCACAUAAAAAAAUACAAACACAAUUAUUACCUA